rnacentral:rRNA from 1 species
GACGAACCGUGCGAACGUUGUUCGGAAUCACUGGGCGUAAAGCGCGCGUAGGCGGACCUGCAAGUCGGGGGUGAAAGCCCGAGGCUCAACCUCGGAACUGCCUUCGAUACUGCGGGUCUCGAGUCCGGGAGAGGUGAGUGGAAUUCCUAGUGUAGAGGUGAAAUUCGUAGAUAUUAGGAAGAACACCAGUGGCGAAGGCGGCUCACUGGCCCGGUACUGACGCUGAGGCGCGAAAGCGUGGGGAGCGAACCGG